rnacentral:lncRNA from 1 species
AUGGGAAUUUGGUCAAGAGGAGCAAUCCUAUUUUGGUAUACCUUCCUCAUGGUCUAGAGGGGGAGAUUGUUGGGUUUUUUCCAGCCCAUGAUUAAUUGUCCUAAGUCUAUUGGGAAUUAAUAGUCUUAUAGGAUUAAAUUGUUUUCCCAAUUGGAGUUGUUUUCCCAAUUGGAGUUGUUUAUCCAAUUGGAGUUAGUUUCUCAAUUGGAGUAGUAGUUUCUUUCUUGGAGUAGGUUUUAUAACUAGUUUCCAAUUAGGAUUAAUAAUCCUUAUUGAAGAAGACCCUUAUUAUGUCUAUAUAAAUGUGCUAUUGUACUAGUUUUGUAUAGGAAGGGAGCAAAACAAUAAAUUGUAUACCACUUAAGGGAUUAGAGUGAGAGAAUAUUGUAAAGUGUGUGCAAGAGAAAACAAAAGAAAGAGUAUUUCUUGUUCUUGUUCUUUCAGGUUUUUCGUCAAGUCCUAGUUCUAGAGAUUUGGCAAGAUUAUUGGUUGUACUCAUUAUUAAUAUAGUAAAAGAUUGUUGUUGCUGUCCCGUGGACAUAGGCACACAUUGCCGAACCACGUAAAUUCUUGGUGUUAUUUAUC